UGGUCAGCAAUGGCCAUGAGAGCGGCGAACGGGUGAGUAACGCGUACACGACCUACCUUUGACAGGGGGAUAGCCCUGGGAAACUGGGAUUAAUACCGCAUAUAAUUCAGAUAAGUAAAGGGAUUUGAAUAAAAGUUCAGGCGGUCAAAGAUGGGUGUGCGUCUGAUUAGCUAGUUGGUAAGGUAACGGCUUACCAGGGCGAUGAUCAGUAGGGGGCGUGAGAGCGUGGUCCCCCACACGGGUACUGAGACACGGACCCGACUCCUACGGGAGGCAGCAGUAAGGAAUAUUGGACAAUGGCCGCAAGGCUGAUCCAGCCAUCCAGCGUGCAGGAAGAAGGCCCUAUGGGUUGUAAACUGCUUUUAUCAGGGAAGAAACCUGUGGAUUUACUCCGCAGCUGACGGUACCUGAAGAAUAAGCACCGGCUAACUCCGUGCCAGCAGCCGCGGUAAUACGGAGGGUGCGAGCGUUAUCCGGAAUUACUGGGUUUAAAGGGUGCGUAGGCGGCGCUGUAAGUCAGGAGUGAAAGUUUGCGGCUCAACCGUAAAAUUGCUUUUGAUACUGCAGUGCUGGAAUUAGGAUGAGGUCAGCGGAAUGUGGCAUGUAGCGGUGAAAUGCAUAGAUAUGCCAUAGAACACCAAUUGCGAAGGCAGCUGGCUAGACCUGGAUUGACGCUGAGGCACGAAAGCGUGGGGAGCGAACAGGAUUAGAUACCCUGGUAGUCCACGCCCUAAACGAUGCUCACUCGACGUAUGACGCUAGACGUUGUGCGUCCAAGGGAAACCGUUAAGUGAGCCACCUGGGGAGUACGA
rnacentral:rRNA from 1 species